GACAGAGGUCUCGAGCGUUAGGCGGAAUCACUGGGCUUAAAGCGUGUGUAGGCGGGCCCGUAAGUGUCUUGUGAAAUCCCACGGCUCAACCGUGGAACUGCUGGGCAUACUGCGGGUCUUGGGCCAACUAGGGGCAGCCGGAACAAGCGGUGGAGCGGUGAAAUGCGUAGAUAUCGCUUGGAACGCCGAAGGUGAAAACAGGCUGCUGGGGUUGCGCCGACGCUGAGACACGAAAGCCAGGGGAGCAAACGGG
rnacentral:rRNA from 1 species